rnacentral:rRNA from 1 species
AUCCCAAACCCCUGUGAACAUACCUUAAUGUUGCCUCGGCGGAUCAGCCCGCGCCCCGUAAAACGGGACGGCCCGCCAGAGGACCCAAACUCUAAUGUUUCUUAUUGUAACUUCUGAGUAAAACAAACAAAUAAAUCAAAACUUUCAACAACGGAUCUCUUGGUUCUGGCAUCGAUGAAGAACGCAGCAAAAUGCGAUAAGUAAUGUGAAUUGCAGAAUUCAGUGAAUCAUCGAAUCUUUGAACGCACAUUGCGCCCGCUGGUAUUCCGGCGGGCAUGCCUGUUCGAGCGUCAUUUCAACCCUCAAGCCCCCGGGUUUGGUGUUGGGGAUCGGCUCUGCCUUCUGGCGGUGCCGCCCCCGAAAUACAUUGGCGGUCUCGCUGCAGCCUCCAUUGCGUAGUAGCUAACACCUCGCAACUGGAACGCGGCGCGGCCAUGCCGUAAAACCCCAACUUCUGAAUGUUGACCUCGGAUCAGGUAGGAAUACCCGCUGAACUUAAGCAUAUC